UACGAAGGGGGCUAGCGUUGCUCGGAAUCACUGGGCGUAAAGGGUGCGUAGGCGGGUUUUUAAGUCAGGGGUGAAAUCCUGGAGCUCAACUCCAGAACUGCCUUUGAUACUGAAGAUCUUGAGUCCGGGAGAGGUGAGUGGAACUGCGAGUGUAGAGGUGAAAUUCGUAGAUAUUCGCAAGAACACCAGUGGCGAAGGCGGCGCUCUGGACCGAGACUGACGCUGAGGCGCGAAGGCGUGGGGAGCAAACAGG
rnacentral:rRNA from 1 species